rnacentral:rRNA from 1 species
CUGGUUGAUCCUGCCAGUAGUCAUAUGCUUGUCUCAAAGACUAAGCCAUGCAUGUCUAAGUAUAAAUGUUAUACAGUGAAACUGCGAAUGGCUCAUUAAAACAGUUAUAGUUUAUUUGAUAAUCGAAUUUUACAUGGAUAACCGUGGUAAUUCUAGAGCUAAUACAUGCUGGUUAGCCUGACUUCUAGGAAGGGCUGUAUUUAUUAGAUAACAAACCAAUAUUCCUCGUGUCUAUUGUGAUGACUCAUAAUAACUGAUCGAAUCGCUUGGGCCUUGCCCGCGAUACAUCAUUCAAGUUUCUGCCCCAUCAGCUUUCGAUGGUAGUGUAUUGGACUACCAUGGCUUUAACGGGUAACGGAGGAUUAGGGUUCGAUUCCGGAGAGGGAGCCUGAGAAACGGCUACCACAUCUAAGGAAGGCAGCAGGCGCGUAAAUUACCCAAUCCUGACUCAGGGAGGUAGUGACAAGAAAUAACGGACCGAGGCUUCACGCUUCGGGAUUGCAAUGAGUAGAAUUUAAACCCCUUUACGAGGAUCAAUUGGAGGGCAAGUCUGGU